AAGGGAACGAAAGCAGGCCUCCCAAGCCAGGAGCGGCAAACUGCUGGGAUCCAUUUCCAUGCUGUGGACUCUUUGUGCUUUGCUCUUUGCAGUAAAUCUUGCUGCUGCUCACUUUUUGGGUCUGCACCACCUUUAUGAGCUGUAACACUCACCGCGAAGGUCUGCAGCUUUACACCUGAAGCCAGGGAGACCACGAACUCAUCAGGAGGAACGAACAACUCCAGACGCGCGGCCUUUAAGAGCUGUAACACUCAACGCGAAGGUCUGCAGCUUCACUCUUGAAGUCAGCGAAACCGCAAACCCACCAGAAGGAAGAAACUCCGGACACAUCUGAACACCUGAAGGAACAAACCCCGGACACACCAUCUCUAAGAACUGUAACACUCACCGCCAGGGUCCGCGGCUUCAUUCUUGAAUCAGUGAGACCAAGAACCCACCAAUUCCAGACACAGAAGUUACUGAACCCCAACAUUUUGGUUUGGAGUACUCUCUUCAGAAGUGUUCAAGGUUCAAAUUGAGGUCUUCUGUUGUCAUGGAAUAACUUUCUCAACAAUGUACAUUGGAUUGAAACAUCGUAAUUCUUUCCAUGACAACAGUGUCUGAUGUUACAGAUGUACAACCAGUGAGGUCAAUAGUUGACAGAUGGACGUUGAAGCCAUGCAAUUACACCUCCCAAACCAUUAUAAAGAAUGUAACAGAAGAAAGGUGGAACCCAGUCUAAAACACACCAAACAAUAAAAGGCACUAAAAUAAUUGCUUCACAUUUAAUGAAUCUUUCUUUAAUAUGACAACCAAUCCAAGAAUCUUUGAAUUCCCUUUCCCUGGUAAAAGUCAAAACAUUUUUGAGGCGGUGGCAGUUUAUCUAAAUUACUGUUUUUUCUCCAUCAGUCUUUAGGCUUAAUCUCAUUUGCUUUUAUGGAUAUGGUAACCCUUUUGAAUAGCUUUUAACCUUUUAAAAGUCGCCUUGAC